rnacentral:rRNA from 1 species
CAAUAGCGUAUAUUAAAGUUGUUGCAGUUAAAAAGCUCGUAGUUGGAUUUCUGGUAGGAGUGACCGUUCCGAACUUGAUUGUUCGUGUAUUGUGUUUUAUCCAGCCAUCCUUGUGGAGAACUUUUCUUGCAUUAAUUUGUAGGGAUUGGGACCCGCAUCGUUUACUGUGAAAAAAUUAGAGUGUUUAAAGCAGGCAAUCGCUUGAAUACAUUAGCAUGGAAUAAUAAGAUAGGACUUUGGUACUAUUUUGUUGGUUUGCAUACCAAAUUAAUGAUCAACAGGAACAGUUUGAGGAUAUUCGUAUGAACAUGUCAGAGGUGAAAUUCUUGGAUUUUGAUCAGACGAACUACUGCGAAAGCAUUUAUCAAGGAUGUUUUCAUUAA